UCCCUGGUGGCUCAGAUGGUAAAGAAUCUGCCUGCAAUGCAGGAUACCUAGGUUUGACCCCUGGGUAGGGAA
rfam:TPA: Bos taurus chromosome 8, whole genome shotgun sequence.